UACAGAGGUCUCGAGCGUUAGGCGGAAUCACUGGGCUUAAAGCGUGUGUAGGUGGAUCGUUAAGUACCUUGUGAAAUCCCACGGCUUAACCGUGGAACUGCUUGGUAUACUGGCGGUCUUGAGCCACUUAGGGGCUACCGGAACAAACGGUGGAGCGGUGAAAUGCGUAGAUAUCGGAAGGAACGCCGGUGGCGAAAGCGACGUGCUGGACCUCUUCUGACGCUGAGGCGCGAAAGCUAGGGGAGCAAACGGG
rnacentral:rRNA from 1 species